GUUUUACUCGAGAGACUUCGCUAAACACAAAUAUUAGUGUUACAAAACAGUAAAAUGUAUUACUACGAUAUAUCAGUGAAAGUGAUGUUUUUUUGCAUUUUUCACACACAAAUGACAUUUACACUGACAAUAUAAUUGUUGUGCUAUGUUUUAUGUUUUUUAAACACUAAUAUUUGUGUUCAGCGAAGUCUCCUGAGUAUAAU